CAAUGGUCCCCUCGCGACAGUCGGCUAUGAAUCCCGCCAGGCCCGGAAGGGAGCAACGGUAGUAGUGACAUUAUGUGCCGGGGUGUAGCUGGCAGGG
rnacentral:SRP_RNA from 1 species